AUUGAACGCUGGCGGCAGGCCUAACACAUGCAAGUCGAACGAGUGGCGGACGGGUGAGUAAUGUCUGGGAAACUGCCUGAUGGAGGGGGAUAACUCCUGGAAACGGUAGCUAAUACCGCAUACCAUCAGAUGUGCCCCGCUGGGAUUAGCUUGUUGGUGGGGUAACGGCUCACCAAGGCGACGAUCCCUAGCUGGUCUGAGAGGAUGACCAGCCACACUGGAACUGAGACACGGUACAGACGCCUACGGGAGGCAGAAGUGGGGAAUAGUGCACAAGGGGCGAAAGCGUGAUGCAGCAAUGCAGCGUGAAUGAAGAAGGCCUUCGGGUUGUAAAGUACUUUCAGCGGGGAGGCGUUACCCGCAGAAGAAGCACCGGCUAACUCCGUGCCAGCCGCCGCGGUAAUAC
rnacentral:rRNA from 1 species